rnacentral:tRNA from 1 species
GGGGUAGGCAAAUGGUAAAGCCGCCCUAGCGCAUUAAGCUCAAAAUAAAGCUCAAGCUAUUGCUCCAAUCUCAUUUUCAAAAAUCGCUCCCUGUAUCUUUCUCUGUGGAACAAGCGUUGCGAGACGCGGGUUCAAAUCCCGCUCCCU